AAUCUCUCUUACACAGGCUGACCGAUCUCUCUUGGUGUUCAGAGUUUCAGUUUUUGUCUAGCACCAUUUGAAAUCGGUUAUGAUGUAGGGGGAAA
ensembl:miRNA